rnacentral:tRNA from 1 species
CGCGGGGUGGAGCAGCACGGUCGCUCGUCGGGCUCAUAACCCGCAGGUCGCAGGUUCAAAUCCUGUCCCCGCAACCA